UACGAACUGUGCAAACGUUAUUCGGAAUCACUGGGCUUAAAGGGCGCGUAGGCGGCCAGCUAAGCAGGGUGUGAAAGCCCCCGGCUCAACCGGGGAAUAGCGCCCUGAACUAGCGGGCUGGAGUGAGAUAGGGGUGUGCGGAACUUCCAGUGGAGCGGUGAAAUGUGUUGAUAUUGGAAGGAACGCCGGUGGCGAAAGCGGCACACUGGGUCUCAACUGACGCUGAGGCACGAAAGCCAGGGGAGCAAACGGG
rnacentral:rRNA from 1 species